CAGGUCCUCCUACGGGAGGCAGCAGUGGGGAAUAUUGGACAAUGGGGGCAACCCUGAUCCAGCAAUGCCGCGUGAGUGAUGAAGGCCUUCGGGUUGUAAAGCUCUUUUGGCGGGGACGAUUAUGACGGUACCGGAAGAAGAAGCCCCGGCUAACUCUGUGCCAGCAGCCGCGGUAAUACAGAGGGGGCAAGCGUUGUUCGGAAUUAUUGGGCGUAAAGGGCGCGUAGGCGGUGCGGUAAGUCACUUGUGAAAUCUCUGGGCUCAACCUUGGAAUUGCCUUUGAUACUGGCUGUCUUGAGUUCGGGAGAGGUGAGUGGAAUGCCGAGUGUAGAGGUGAAAUUCGUAGAUAUUCGGCGGAACACCAGUGGCGAAGGCGACUCACUGGCCCGAUACUGACGCUGAGGCGCGAAAGCGUGGGGAGCAAACAGGAUUAGAUACCCUGGUAGUCCACGCUGUAAACGAUGAGUGCUAGUUGUCGGCAUGCAUGCAUGUCGGUGACGCAGCUAACGCAUUAAGCACUCCGCCUGGGGAGUACGGUCGCAAGAUUAAAACUCAAAGGAAUUGACG
rnacentral:rRNA from 1 species